rnacentral:rRNA from 1 species
AGGGGUAUAGUAGCAAUACUAGAGACCGGCGCACGGGUGCGUAACGCGUAUGCAAUCUACCUUUUGCAGAGGGAUAGCCCAGAGAAAUUUGGAUUAAUACCUCAUAGUAUAGCAGUUUCGCAUGAAACCACUAUUAAAGUCACAACGGCAAAAGAUGAGCAUGCGUCCCAUUAGCUAGUUGGUAAGGUAACGGCUUACCAAGGCUACGAUGGGUAGGGGUCCUGAGAGGGAGAUCCCCCACACUGGUACCGAGACACGGACCAGACUCCUACGGGAGGCAGCAGUGAGGAAUAUUGGACAAUGGGCGCAAGCCUGAUCCAGCCAUGCCGCGUGCAGGAUGACGGUCCUAUGGACUGUAAACUGCUUUUGUACAGGAAGAAACACUCCCUCGUGAGGGAGCUUGACGGUACUGUAAGAAUAAGGAUCGGCUAACUCCGUGCCAGCAGCCGCGGUAAUACGGAGGAUCCAAGCGUUAUCCGGAAUCAUUGGGUUUAAAGGGUCCGUAGGCGGCUUUAUAAGUCAGUGGUGAAAUCUCCCCGCUCAACGGGGAAACGGCCAUUGAUACUGUAAGGCUUGAAUUAUUAGGAAGUAACUAGAAUAUGUAGUGUAGCGGUGAAAUGCUUAGAGAUUACAUGGAAUACCAAUUGCGAAGGCAGGUUACUACUAAUGGAUUGACGCUGAUGGACGAAAGCGUGGGUAGCGAACAGGAUUAGAUACCCUGGUAGUCCACGCCGUAAACGAUGGAUACUAGCUGUUGGGCGCAAGCUCAGUGGCUAAGCGAAAGUGAUAAGUAUCCCACCUGGGGAGUACGUUCGCAAGAAUGAAACUCAAAGGAAUUGACGGGGGCCCGCACAAGCGGUGGAGCAUGUGGUUUAAUUCGAUGAUACGCGAG